rnacentral:rRNA from 1 species
GUGUCAGCCGCCGCGGUAAUACGGAGGGUGCAAGCGUUGUUCGGAAUUAUUGGGCGUAAAGGGCGUGUAGGCGGUUUGGUAAGUCAGAUGUGAAAGCCCUGGGCUUAACCCAGGAAGUGCAUUUGAAACUACCAGACUUGAGUAUGGGAGAGGAGAGUGGAAUUCCCAGUGUAGAGGUGAAAUUCGUAGAUAUUGGGAGGAACAUCCGUGGCGAAGGCGACUCUCUGGACCAAUACUGACGCUGAGACGCGAAAGCGUGGGGAGCAAACAGGAUUAGAAACCCCGGUAGUCC